UUGUAGGCCUCCGUAGGUUUUGGUGGGGGCCAUAAAAACAGAAUUGUUACUACCCCAAAAUCCUCAGAGACCCCAAGGAGGCAACUAUGAUGUCCUGAGCUGAGACAGAUGGCACAAGUUAACUUCUGUUAUCUGCCCCAGCAGGCUUCAAGCAAAACGGACCAGGCCCCACCCAGGUGUGGCUUCCCACCAUGGGCUUAAGGGAAGCUAUAGCUGUGCUUGAAAGGACCUUUAUUCAUUCUAAGGAGCUGUUGGCCCCUUCUUCACUAACCUAGCUGUCUGGUAUAGAAGCAGCCUUCCAGACAAGCCCCUGUCGCCGUCCUGGGGUGAGGGCAGAACACCCACACCCCUCCUUGUUACUGGAUCCCUUCCUCCUCCGUCCUCUGUGAGCUGGUCCUUGCGGCUCUGAGUCCAAGUGUGAUCCAGCUCUAUCCAUUGUCUCCUUCUGGCAGCAGAGCUAGGACCCCCUUGGCGGCUGAUCUGUUGCCCUAGUUCCUUUCUGCUAUUUGUAGUGCUGUAUAGGACUUGACAGUUCAUGAAUGUGGAGUGAAUGUUCCUGCGUUCUUGAGAAGCUAAGAGCCUUUAUGCCAGUUAUGCACUUAACUCUUCAACUAGCCUAGCCAUUCUUGUGUGCAAUCACCCUUUUGUUCAGACAAAUUUUUAAUAAUUUCCCCUCUCCUGUUAAUGUGUUUUUAAUGGGGAAAGGUCUCGGUUGGGACCAUGUACCUGUUUGUUGUGUUUUUAAGUUGUUACAGUUUCUAACCUUUGUGUAAAACACUGGUCAGGGUUGCUUCUUCAAGGCUGACAGCAGUGUGCCCUGAGACUGACUGAUUCCUGUGUACCUGUCUUCUGGUAGUUGAUUGUUAAUUGCCCCAAAAAAGAAAAAACGGUAGCUUUGGUGCCAUUCCUAGAAGCUGAAGAGAAAAUUUGCAUGUGCUGGUGGAAACUGCUGAGUGUUUCAACCAGAUAUAACUUCUUACAAGGAAAUAGAGGAGCGUUAAGAUAAAGACCAUAGCAAGAGGGAACCUGUAAGAAUUGACUCACAGUGUUGACUGCUCUGCCUCAAACCUGGGAUCUGAAGGUUGUGUUGGAUUGAAAGACUCUGGAGGCUCUUCCCUGUUCAGGUCAUGGUCAAGUUGUGGAAGUCAAGACCCACCCCAGUUUGGAAGGGCUGACCGGAAGCUGCCUUGGCUUCCCAAGGGCUCUGGGAAUGACCUCACAGGACUUGAGCCCCCACGUUCAGACUCAGCAGGAAAGGAGAAAGAGCAUGAAAUGUUUCAAAAGCACUUUGCAACUUACCAGUAUAUGAAAAUCUGCUGCUGUCCUGAAUAGAAGUUUCUAAAUGCACUGAAGAGAGAUCUUUAUGACAUAAAAGAGAAAAAGUGUUCUUUUCUGUAAAUUAUGGGCUUGUUCGGGGAGAAUCAGCUUGCUCAUGAGGUGGAGAUAAGAUUCAAGACAUAGCGGAAGAGUGGAAGGCAAAUGUUUUCCACUUAAAUGAGGCUGUUGGUGACUUUUCUCUGCCAAGACUUAAGAGUUGUGAUUUGAUCACUGGAAAGGGAGCAAGGAGUCCAAACAAAAGAUGUGUUACGUGUGUGUGUGUGCGCGCGCACGUGCGCACGGCUCAUGUUCUGAACUGAAUCCCCACUUGUGGCUCCCAUACAUCCCAGCAGUUCAUUGUUGUCUUUAAUAAACUAAGCAAAUGGAAACCUA